GAGGGUAUAGCUCAGUGGUGGAGCGCAUGCUUAGCAUGCUUGAGGUUCUGGGUGCAAUCCCCAGUACUUCUA
rnacentral:tRNA from 1 species